rnacentral:lncRNA from 1 species
UAGCCUGGGAAUCAGCUGAGAAAUGAAUGUGGUAAUGAAAUGCAGCAGGAAGAUGGAAACAGGAAAGUGCAGAGCUAGAAGAGGAAAGGAUGUUUAGAAGAGUAAAGGGGACAUUUGGAAACUUAAUUCCAAUAUUAACAUUGCAGAUUACAUCCAGACAUUACAAUAUUAACCUGCAUUUUUUUCUGGAUUAGACAGGCAAUCUUGCCUCUGAAUUUCUGAGCACCAAAGCUGAAACUUGCCAAAUGUUAUUGUGAAGCAGAGACUCUCAAAUACAAUGGUUUUGUCUGCCAAGGAACACCAUCAAACAACAUUUAAUGUUUUCACAACUAAGAAGUACUUCAGGCAUCAGAAUGUUCACAUGAAGAUAUAAACAGAAAAAGAAGCCACUUCAUAUGUAAGAGAGAGGAGAGAACCACUCUUCCUCAUCCAGCUUGCCAAAGCUUGGGUGCCCACUCCUGGUGCUGAGACAAGAGUGAGAGGAGUGGCUGAGAAGAGAUCAGAGUAUCAAGGCUAUUGAUCAUCUAGAUAAGGAUACUGGAUCCACUCCAGAAAAUAAUGGCCAGAUUCAAAUCAAGAUCUUUGUGGCUCUGAAACUACCUUCCUCUCCGUGCCUCUAGUGUGCUUCCAUGUCAUUUGCCCGGGAAUGAGCCUAUCAUUACCCUGACAGGAGUCUAUGGAACAGAAGUCAAUACUCUAGGAAGCAAAGAAACUGCAAAAUAAGGGUUCCCUGUGCUGAGCAUUGACGCUCCAAGCCUCCUCAGGAGCACGGAAACCCAGCCAGCAUGACUCAAGGCCUGCCACGCAUCCCCAGCGUAGGACUCAUGGGCACACGCUCCACCCCAGCACUUGUGCGGAUUUCUGCGGGCUGUGCUUACCCCGCGGCUCCAGCCCCCAUGCCAACAGCACGUUCUUACUUCUGUGAGAAAGCCAGCCAUGCCAGAAGGCUGUGUACUUGAAGAUUUUCAUUCCAGGAGAACCGUACGUGGAGAAAGAAGCAUUUUAUCAAGCCCGCGAGAAACAAACACCAAAACAGAACCGUGAAGCAAGUGUAGCUUUCCUAAGAUAAUCAGUUUGGCCAUCCAGAAUGGAAAGAAGAAGAAAAGAAAAGGCUUGACACUCAGUGGCAGACAUGUAAAAAUUACUGCGUGCCCCCCAGAGACA